rnacentral:rRNA from 1 species
GAUGAACGCUGGCGGCGUGCCUAAUACAUGCAAGUCGAGCGAACACACGAGGAGCUUGCUCCUCUGACGUUAGCGGCGGAAGGGUGAGUAACACGUGGACAACCUACCUCUAAGACUGGGUUACUUUCGGGAAACCGGACAUAAUACCGGAUAAUAUAUUGAACCGCAUGGUUCAAUAGUGAAAGACGGUUUUGCUUUCACUUUUCGCUGGUUCAGCGCCGCCUUAGCUAGUUGGUAAGGUAACGGCUUACCACGGCAACGAAGCGUAGCUGGCCUGAGAGGGUGAGCGGCCACACUGGAACUGAGACACGGUCCAGACUCCUACGGGAGGCAGCAGUAGGGAAUCUGCCGCAAUGGGCGAGAGCGUGACGGAGCAACGCCGCGUGAGUGAUGAAGGGCUUCGGAUCGUAAAACUCUGUUAUUAGGAAAGAACAAAUGUGUAAGUAACUAUGCACGGCUUGACGGUACCUAAUCAGAAAGCCACGGCUAACUACGUG